AUUGAACGCUGGCGGCAUGCUUUACACAUGCAAGUCGAACGGCCGCGGGGAGGAGCUUGCUUCUCUGCCGGCGAGUGUCGAACGGGUGAGUAAUACUACGGAACGUGUCGAGAAGAGGGGGAUAACCACCCGCAAGGGUGGCUAAUACCGCAUAAAUCCUGAGGUAGAAAGCUGCGUACCUGUGAAUAGGCCUAGCGCAUUUUGAGCCGCCGAUGUCGGAUUAGCUUGUUGGGGAGGUAAAGGCUCACCAAGGCGAAGAUCGGCAGCGGGACAGAGAGGAUGAUCCGCCACACGGGAACUGGAAAACGGCCCAGACUCCUACGGGAGGCAGCGGUGGGGAAUUUUGGACAAUGGGGGCAACCCGGAUCCAGACAUGCCGCGUGUAUGAAGAAGGCCUUAGGGUUGUAAAGUAUGUUUGUUAGGGAAGAAAAGUCAGCUGUGAAUAAUGGCUGAUACUGACGGUACCUAAAGAAUAAGCACCGGCUAACUACGUG
rnacentral:rRNA from 1 species